AGGCCGUGACAUGUACAAUGUUUGUGACUUUGACUUAGACCAAUAUUGCACUGGUCCCGGCCUGA
rnacentral:pre_miRNA from 1 species